rnacentral:rRNA from 1 species
CCUACGGGAGGCAGCAGUGGGGAAUAUUGCACAAUGGGGGAAACCCUGAUCCAGCAACGCCGCGUGAGUGAAGAAGUAUUUCGGUAUGUAAAGCUCUAUCAGCAGGGAAGAGAAUGACGGUACCUGACUAAGAAGCCCCGGCUAACUACGUGCCAGCAGCCGCGGUAAUACGUAGGGGGCAAGCGUUAUCCGGAUUUACUGGGUGUAAAGGGAGCGUAGACGGCGGUACAAGUCUGAAGUGAAAGCCCGUGGCCCAACCGCGGGACUGCUUUGGAAACUGUAGAGCUGGAGUACAGGAGAGGCAAGCGGAAUUCCUAGUGUAGCGGUGAAAUGCGUAGAUAUUAGGAGGAACACCAGUGGCGAAGGCGGCCUACUGGACAGAAACUGACGUUGAGGCUCGAAAGCGUGGGGAGCAAACAGGAUUAGAUACCCCAGUAGUC